rnacentral:rRNA from 1 species
AGUCGAGCGGUAACAGGAAUUAGCUUGCUAAUUUGCUGACGAGCGGCGGACGGGUGAGUAACGCGUAGGAAUCUGCCUGGUAGUGGGGGACAACAUGUGGAAACGCAUGCUAAUACCGCAUACGCCCUACGGGGGAAAGGAGGGGAUCUUCGGACCUUUCGCUAUCAGAUGAGCCUGCGUGAGAUUAGCUAGUUGGUGGGGUAAAGGCUCACCAAGGCGACGAUCUCUAGCUGGUCCGAGAGGAUGAUCAGCCACACUGGGACUGAGACACGGCCCAGACUCCUACGGGAGGCAGCAGUGGGGAAUAUUGGACAAUGGGCGCAAGCCUGAUCCAGCCAUGCCGCGUGUGUGAAGAAGGCCUUAGGGUUGUAAAGCACUUUCAGUAGUGAGGAAAGGGGUGUAGUUAAUACCUGCAUCCUGUGACGUUAGCUACAGAAGAAGCACCGGCUAAUUCCGUGCCAGCAGCCGCGGUAAUACGGAAGGUGCGAGCGUUAAUCGGAAUUACUGGGCGUAAAGCGCGCGUAGGUGGUUCAGUCAGUCAGAUGUGAAAGCCCCGGGCUCAACCUGGGAACUGCACCUGAUACUGCUGGACUUGAGUACGGUAGAGGGUAGUGGAAUUUCCUGUGUAGCGGUGAAAUGCGUAGAUAUAGGAAGGAACACCAGUGGCGAA